AGAAAUGUCCCGCGAGAUCUCACACGGAAGCAUGGGAGCAUUGCAUUCUAUAAUCGUGGACUUUCCUUGUGAGGAGCUGGAAGGGAUAUGAAGCAUACUUGUCCAGCACUGUCACUCCAGCAGGCAGGCUGUAGUCCACCAUGAAGUGGGCUGGUUUCCAGCCUGAGUUCCACGACCUGAACACCUCUAACCCCUCUUUGAUGGCGACUGUGGUCUCCUCCUGCACCACCAUCACUCCAACAACUACAAAGCAGACAUUUGUGCGGACACACAGGAAAAAGAGGGGGAGUGCGUAUCGGGUUGUUCGAUACGUGGCAUCAAAAAGGCAGAUGUCGGUCCCAUACAGAAGUAGUAGCCUCCUCUGCCAUGCUGUUUGAUGGCAGAGGAGGAAGGAUGUGCCUUCUGUGUGGAGGCGUAAAUGGAACUGAUCUUCCGGACUUUCAGCACGCCAUUUUUGAAACAAGGCCUGCAAACAGGUACAAGUACAUGUUGUCAUUCAGUUCUAUAACUUCAUGGACAGAGACGUUUUACCAGGGCAAGUUUGACAGAGCCACUCACCUCCAGGUUCACUUGAUCUAUCUUUGACAACCGAGUCUGAUCUCUGGCCCUAGCCAUGAUGUUUCUGAGGUCUUUGUCCGAGGGGAAGUACCGGCGUCUGGAGGGGGCUGGUGGGCUGGUUCCCCUAAAAAGCUCUGCCCUCACAUAUUGCAUAAGGUGCCUCUUAACCUCACUCA